GACGAACGCUGGCGGCGUGCUUAACACAUGCAAGUCGAACGGAAAGGCCCUGCUUUUGUGGGGUGCUCGAGUGGCGAACGGGUGAGUAACACGUGAGUAACCUGCCCUUGACUUUGGGAUAACUUCAGGAAACUGGGGCUAAUACCGGAUAGGAGCUCCUGCUGCAUGGUGGGGGUUGGAAAGUUUCGGCGGUUGGGGAUGGACUCGCGGCUUAUCAGCUUGUUGGUGGGGUAGUGGCUUACCAAGGCUUUGACGGGUAGCCGGCCUGAGAGGGUGACCGGCACCAUUGGGACUGAGAUACGGCCCAGACUCCUACGGGAGGCAGCAGUGGGGAAUAUUGCACAAUGGGCGGAAGCCUGAUGCAGCAACGCCGCGUGCGGGAUGACGGCCUUCGGGUUGUAAACCGCUUUCGCCUGUGACGAAGCGUGAGUGACGGUAAUGGGUAAAGAAGCACCGGCUAACUACGUG
rnacentral:rRNA from 1 species